GAGAUGGAGACUGGUGCCCUUGAAAUGGCAUUUUUCAGAUGCUAAAUCAUGUUUCAAGAGAUGCAUUCAUUUAUCCAAUAGGCUGAACAAUAAGCCUGGACUGUGGAAGGUUUCAGGUUACAAAAUGAAUUUUGAUGCAUGCAUCUGUGUAAGUGAAGAUCCAGUUUCCCAACAGAUGAUGCAGUAAGAAAGGCUUUUUUAGUUUCCACUGUUCUACCAGAGAGCAGGUGCAGCAGCGGUGCAAAUAAGACACUACAAAUGCCAGCAGAAGCUGUAACUCCAAGAGGUUCAAUUAGUGGAGGAUAUUGAAGCUGUGAAAUAUCUGGCAUCCAAAGCAUCAUGCUCUGAUGGAUCAAGAUUGCAACCAUCGCCUCAACCAACAGAUACGGAAAUUGCAACAAUCAAGUCUUGUCCCUGGAUCCAUGGAUGGUUAUUUCCUCUCCACUAUGUGCUCUUGUCCUUUAUUUCCCUUUCUUUUCCAUAUAUAUUUUCCUAAGCAAUAUUUUUAUAUUUUUAUAUUGCCAUAUUUCUAUUGACAAUAACCAAAAUGGCUGCAUACCCUCUUCCCAUUGCAACCAA